rnacentral:rRNA from 1 species
GAUGAACGCUAGCGGAAGGCUUAAUACAUGCAAGUCGAGCGGUAGGUGGCUUCGGCCAUUGAGAGCGGCGCACGGGUGAGUAACGCGUACAUGACCUGCCUGUCAGAAGGGGAUAGCCCUGGGAAACUGGGAUUAAUACCCUAUGGUAUUGAUAUUAUGAAUGAUAUCAAUUAAAGUUGAGGCGCUGACAGAUGGAUGUGCGUCUGAUUAGCUAGUUGGUAGGGUAACGGCCUACCAAGGCGACGAUCAGUAGGGGGCGUGAGAGCGUGGUCCCCCACACGGGUACUGAGACACGGACCCGACUCCUACGGGAGGCAGCAGUAAGGAAUAUUGGUCAAUGCCCGCAAGGGUGAACCAGCCAUUCCGCGUGGAGGAUGAAGGCCCUAUGGGUUGUAAACUUCUUUUAGAUGGGAAGAAAAUGCUAGAUGUAUCUGGUACUGACGGUACCAUCAGAAUAAGCACCGGCUAACUACGUGCCAGCAGCCGCGGUAAU